rnacentral:rRNA from 1 species
ACGCGGCGGCGUGCUACACCAUGCAAGUCGAGCGCGAAGCAAGGGAGCUUGCUCCUGGAUUCACGCGGCGCACGGGUGAGUAACACGUGGAUAAUCUACCCAUCAGUAAGGGAUACCAGUUGGAAACGACUGUUAAUACCAGGAUACGAUCCUUUUUUUACAUUAAGGGUGAAAGUGCGGUGCAAGCUGUCGCUGAUGUGACUGAGUCCGCGAUCUCAUUAGGUAGUUGGUACGGGUAACGGCCUACCAAGCCUGUGAUGAGUAGCCGGCCUGAGAGGGUGAACGGCCACACUGGGACUGGAACACGGCCCAGACUCCUACGGGAGGCAGCAGUGGGGAAUAUUGCGCAAUGGGCGAAAGCCUGACGCAGCGACGCCGCGUGAGAGGAUAGAAGGCCUUCGGGUCGUAAACCUCUGACCAAGAGGGAAGAAGUGUAAUGGGGAGUAACUGCCCUGUAUUUGACGGUACACUCACAGAGGAAGCACCGGCCUAACUCCGUGCCAGACAGCCGCGGUUAAUACGGAUGGUGCAAAGCGUUAAUCGGAACUUUACUGGGCGUAAAGACUGCGCGUUAGGCCUGUCUUGUACAGUCCAAGGUGUGAAUCCCAACAGCAUCAACCGGUGGAAAUUGCGCUUUGA